rnacentral:rRNA from 1 species
GAUGGCGCGGGCUACCAUGCAGUCGAGCGGUAACACAGGGAGCUUGCUCCCGGGUGACGAGCGGCGGACGGGUGAGUAAUGUCUGGGAAACUGCCUGAUGGAGGGGGAUAACUACUGGAAACGGUAGCUAAUACCGCAUAACGUCGCAAGACCAAAGAGGGGGACCUUCGGGCCUCUUGCCAUCAGAUGUGCCCAGAUGGGAUUAGCUAGUAGGUGGGGUAACGGCUCACCUAGGCGACGAUCCCUAGCUGGUCUGAGAGGAUGACCAGCCACACUGGAACUGAGACACGGUCCAGACUCCUACGGGAGGCAGCAGUGGGGAAUAUUGCACAAUGGGCGCAAGCCUGAUGCAGCCAUGCCGCGUGUAUGAAGAAGGCCUUCGGGUUGUAAAGUACUUUCAGCGGGGAGGAAGGUGUUGAGGUUAAUAACCUCAGCAAUUGACGUUACCCGCAGAAGAAGCACCGGCUAACUCCGUGCACGCCAG